rnacentral:rRNA from 1 species
UACGUAGGGGGCAAGCGUUGUCCGGAAUCAUUGGGCGUAAAGAGCGUGUAGGCGGCCCGAUAAGUCCGCUGUGAAAGUCCAGGGCUCAACCCUGGAAUGCCGGUGGAUACUGUCGGGCUCGAAUCCGGAAGAGGUGAGUGGAAUUCCUGGUGUAGCGGUGAAAUGCGCAGAUAUCAGGAGGAACACCGGUGGCGAAGGCGGAUCUCUGGGCCUUACCUGACGCUCAGGUGCGAAAGCUAGGGGAGCGAACAGG